GAUGAACGCUGGCGGCGUGCCUAAUACAUGCAAGUCGAGCGAACAGACGAGGAGCUUGCUCCUCUGACGUUAGCGGCGGACGGGUGAGUAACACGUGGAUAACCUACCUAUAAGACUGGGAUAACUUCGGGAAACCGGAGCUAAUACCGGAUAAUAUAUUGAACCGCAUGGUUCAAUAGUGAAAGACGGUUUUGCUGUCACUUAUAGAUGGAUCCGCGCCGCAUUAGCUAGUUGGUAAGGUAACGGCUUACCAAGGCAACGAUGCGUAGCCGACCUGAGAGGGUGAUAGGCAACACUGGAACUGAGACACGGUCCAGACUCCUACGGGAGGCAGCAGUAGGGAAUCUUCCGCAAUGGGCGAAAGCCUGACGGAGCAACGCCGCGUGAGUGAUGAAGGUCUUCGGAUCGUAAAACUCUGUUAUUAGGGAAGAACAAAUGUGUAAGUAACUAUGCACGUCUUGACGGUACCUAAUCAGAAAGCCACGGCUAACUACGUG
rnacentral:rRNA from 1 species